rnacentral:rRNA from 1 species
UACGAAGGGAGCUAGCGUUGUUCGGAAUCACUGGGCGUAAAGCGCGCGUAGGCGGCCCUGUAAGUCCGUUGUGAAAGUCGAAGGCUCAACCUUCGAAAGCCGAUGGAUACUGCAGGGCUAGAGUCCGGAAGAGGCGAGUGGAAUUCCUGGUGUAGCGGUGAAAUGCGCAGAUAUCAGGAGGAGCACCGAUGGCGAAGGCAGCUCGCUGGGACGUUACUGACGCUGAGACGCGAAAGCGUGGGGAGCAAACAGG